CAGCGUGAAUGUGACAUCCUCCAUUGUACUCAGCACACAGGUCUGGAGCUGAACAUGAAGACUGGGUCAGACUGGGACUAGACCUGGUUUAGUCUGUCCAAAUGUUUUUAGUUUUUUUCUCCUUGUCUUUGUUCAGCUGGUUUACUUGGUUCAGUCCCGUGAUUUAGUUUGGGUUUAUUCUAGGUUAAGUCUUGAUUUAACAUACUGCAUGUGAGAGUGUUGCGGAGAGAGGCUAAAUGCAAGGAAUGUAGUGUGGAUCUCAUGAUAACGGACUGGAUUGUUCAGCUUUUUAACUGAGAUGUGGGCAUUUUAACAGCUCAAACUAAGGGAGAGCAGUUGUCACGAGUUAAUAGAGCUGGAGACGCUGCAAUCAGACAAGAGCCACUGCACAGAUCAAACUCAAACCCAAGCCAGCGAAGAGCUUCUUUCCUCCUUCUCUCCUUGACUCAACUUUUUGUGCACACACAUCAAAUGCACAUUCUCCAAGUACUAUUGUGUCGUACUGACCGAGGUUGAUUUGGCAGCGGUCUCCGGUCCAGCCACUCUCACAGACACAAACUCCAGAGCCCUCCAGUCCGUCCUCACAGGUGCCCUUCUCUGUGCAGUUACAGGCUGAAACACAGGGAACAGCUCUGUAAACCCCAGUGAUUUAAAAUGUGAAAAUUAUUACAUAAUGAUCCACAGAUGCUUGAUUUGCUUGAUUUUGUUUGAAAAAACCUUGAUACACACACACACUUCUAUAUGCUGACUUUGGGGGCCUACCUGUGCA